GACGAACGCUGGCGGCGUGCUUAACACAUGCAAGUCGAACGGAAAGGCCCUGCUUGCAGGGUACUCGAGUGGCGAACGGGUGAGUAACACGUGGGUGAUCUGCCCUGCACUUCGGGAUAAGCCUGGGAAACUGGGUCUAAUACCGGAUAGGAGCCAUUUUUAGUGUGAUGGUUGGAAAGUUUUUUCGGUGUAGGAUGAGCUCGCGGCCUAUCAGCUUGUUGGUGGGGUAAUGGCCUACCAAGGCGGCGACGGGUAGCCGGCCUGAGAGGGUGGACGGCCACAGUGGGACUGGGAUACGGCCCAGACUCCUACGGGAGGCAGCAGUGGGGAAUAUUGCACAAUGGGUGCAAGCCUGAUGCAGCGACGCCGCGUGGGGGAUGACGGCCUUCGGGUUGUAAACUCCUUUCGCUAGGGACGAAGCUUUUUGUGACGGUACCUAGAUAAGAAGCACCGGCUAACUACGUG
rnacentral:rRNA from 1 species